rnacentral:rRNA from 1 species
UACGUAGGGACCAAGCGUUGUUCGGAUUUACUGGGCGUAAAGGGCGCGUAGGCGGCGUGGUAAGUCACUUGUGAAAUCUCUGAGCUUAACUCAGAACGGCCAAGUGAUACUGCUGUGCUAGAGUGCAGAAGGGGCAAUCGGAAUUCUUGGUGUAGCGGUGAAAUGCGUAGAUAUCCGGAGGAACACCGGUGGCGAAGGCGGCUUCCUGGACCGACACUGACGCUGAGGCGCGAAAGCUAGGGGAGCAAACGGG